GUGGAGAUAGGGCAGCAGUCGUUCUGGCUGUCGAACAGCGCAGCCGAGCACACACCCUUGGGCAGGCCAGGGGGAGGAAUGCACAGCUCCUCAAGGGUGGUGCAGCCCUUGCCGUUCUUGUUCAUCGACAGGGUGAUGCAAAUCUCAGCACCGUCGCUGGCCAGGCCCAGGCCCAGCUGGGUCAGGACCAGGGUGGUCGAGCCAACGGGGCCAUCGGUGGGCUCGUGGAACGAGACACCGACCUUGGUGGGCACGCCGUUGAUGGUGGCCUUCACCACCUCGCCGAAGACGUCGCACGCCUCGUAGACGUUGAACUGUGUACAUCAAAAUGAGGAACAAACUCAGAGAACUUCUUGAAAAAAGAACUCACACUGUGGGUUGCUGGCUGCUGCGACUUUGAAACCGCGACCCGAUGCGCCGACAACCCACCUCGAUCUUCUUGAGGUCUGCCUUGGAGCAGCAGUAAUCGGUGCAGCCAGCCGGCACCUUGGCGCUCAGCUUGAAGCAGUACUGGUUGUUGCCCUUGGCAACGACAACAUCACCCAGCUUGUAGGCCGAGGGAGACUUCUUGCACUGGCAGUAAGGGAACGAGGUGUACAAGCCCGACUGAGCACCCUGGGCGGCCCUGCAGAUUCAGAACGAAGGGCACACGCGGCACGGAGUUACUGCCAGCGGAGCAAGCGGAGUCUCGGCGACGGGAUAGCCUGCUUGCAACUUGCUGUCAAAUCCGGUGGUGGCGCUACGAUCACUGUUACGCUAUGCUGAAAUCAUGAAAAUAGCCCGAGCAUGCUGUAAGAGCGCCGGUUGCAAGAAGGCCGACCGCAUUCAAGCUGCGCAGCGGACCCACACGACCACUAUUUACGCCGUGAGCGUAAAUGAUUAUCUUUGACUAGAGUCAGCGAUGCUCGUCUAUUCUACAACUCAGGAGCUUCCCGAAGCGACAAAUCUGUGAAACGCGCGGUCUUGCUACUCACGCAAUUGCGGCCGCGAAAAGAACGGAGACUAGAAUGCUGCACCUCAUUGUCACAGAGGUGGUUCAGCUAUAAAGAAAUUGUGAGGCACGCGGGCUUAUCAUGGGGGGCCCGGCUGGUCGAACGAGUCGUACGCCCGCCAUUAACCGCGGGCGCGUUAGUUUGGCGUGCGAUGCAAUCAUUCAUGCAACCGCGCCACUUCGACAGUGCCGGAAACAACUUUUAUUUUUGUGGGUAUGCAUCCGGCUAUUCGGUAGGACAGCAGCUGCGUUACGCUCAAACUCGGGCAAACAAUUGGGCUAGCGGCGUGAGCUUGCACCUCACAACUAUCAUCACACAAGUUAUUUAGAUACUGGCCUACCUUGGGCCAUCUCCAAAACUGCCUGUCCAGCCCGGGAGCGGCGGAGCUGUUUCGCCCGCGGUUUGGAGUGGCUUUACUCGUGCCGACGCAAGUCCUUGAUUUUUGCAUUAUAAAAAAAUUAUAGAGUACAGCUAUAGCAACCAACUUGGCAAUGGAGCUGCUGGCAUGGUCCAAACGCGGGAAGCUGGCGCCUUCUAGGCUCUUUGGAGCCCUGUCGGCUUCACAAGUGGCUGAUGCUCAAGUUGUGCAUCGCUUUGGCCGGACAAAUGUCUCCUAGUAACCCGGUUCACAAGCGAAGCGUGAAACGAAAGCAAAGGAUGCUGCGCGCCGGAAGCGAAACGUUCGAUGCACCUAAUUGGGCGCCAAGCGCGGAACCUUGCAGUCUCAGAUGCGUGUGUGCAUGGAAGGAGAAGGCUGGCGGAGGCGAGAGGAGCGGGGGCAGGGAUUGGCUUUCGUGGGGGGGGCGGGGCAAGUGGCGCGGGCGGGGCUGGGGGGGCGAAGAACGGUGAAGACCGGUGCGAUGGCACAGGGUAAGGGGCAGGUUGGCGUAGUCCCGAGUCCCGAGAAACAACUUACGCCCAACCCAGGCGCCAAUGAAACAGGUGAAGAGCUUGAGGACCCCCCUCCCGCUGUCCGGGCCUUACACACAAGCAGGCCAAGUGCGGGGGGAGCCGUAGCGCACACCAUAUACCGUACUGUCACUGUGCUCGAUUUCGUCGCUAGUGACGCCCCUGCUGGCUAGGGUAGCAAGGGUAAUGGGGGUGAACGAGCCGGUUGCUUAGGCUGUGCCAGCUUUCCCCGGGUUUCAUUGGGGUCACACACUUCACUGAUGCACAACUUUCAGAGCCAGGGGGCUGCAUCCUCCGGCAAGCAGACGCCAGGAGGGUGUCCCUGGCCGCAUGCGCUGGGUCCUGGAGUCUACGGUACGCGUUGCCGCACGCGUCGGUUGGCCAUCCAUUCCCCAUCCUUAGACACAAUGACUGUGUCAUGUGUGCACGUUGCGCUUUAGGCUCGGCCAGCGGCACCCUGGGUUGGGUGUGUGAUGGGUUGGGUCUCGGUUUGAGAGGUGUGACCCUUGCAGAAAGCAGGACUCUCCACACUCCCCUCCCGUGCUGUGCAUGUAUGUUCCUGCAUGCACGUGUGUGUAUGAAGUGAAUGGCUCAGCCAACGGCUGUGUGUGCAUGUGGCCCGCGUAAAAUGCAAUUUACCAGUGAUGGGCACUUCUAUCAGGGAGGGGUAGGAAACAAAGUGCCAGACCCCAUGCCCCGAAAUCCCCCGGGACCCCCCUUGAGGGGACGACCGACCCCCCGACGGACAAAACCUUGUUGUUCAGCGGUUAAAACCCCUCCAUUUAAUACCAAAGUAGUGUCAAUCGACUCCUCUUGACGAGCACUAUCACUCCGUGCCAUCAGCGGUCCUGUUCUGAGACUUCGGUCACGGGCGGGAUCCUAUCCAUGGAAAUCCCCUCGACCCAGACCACCCCGCGCUCAACUCUUUGCCGCGUGACGAAUGGACAAUGUGCAUCGGCAGCCUUGUUAGACGUGAACUCAUGCGCAUCAGCGCUUCAGAGCCCAGCUGUGUCAGUGCGCAUAUGUUGAAUGUGGAGACAUGUCCCGACAUGUCCACGUCCGGACGCGCAACUUAGCCCUCCCACGCUUUGUUUGUGCUUAUUACGUCAUAACGUACACAUAUGAGCCUCGCACUGCUGCGUUUGGCCCCUAGUUCUGCUUGUGGGGCGCUUCCCGAAAUCCGCCAGGAUGGGCUCCCGAAACCCGACGGACCCCCAGGGACGAGGACCGACCCCCAACUUUGGCGGCCCAGAACUUCCUCACCAGACCCCCCUUUAAAAAACUAAAAGUACGUGCAUAAUGCUCUCCUGAAGCUCUCUAAUAUUGAGCAUGGGGUAAGAACCUGAGCUUUCUAACCCCCCCCUGCCAUGGCGGCCACAAUGCCAAGAUGCUACCUGGCGGCGCCACGCACAGCAGAGCCCUGUGCUCCGCAAGGAUGCACACGUGCACACACGCACACACAUGUGCGAACACACGUGCACCUGCCCUCCAUGCCACUCGCCCCGCCCCUUCCCCCUUCCCUCACCUCAGUUAUGGCUGACUGGAUGCGGUUGAUCUCAAACAGCCGGCUGCGCCCCUCCUGGGAGCCGCCGCCGCCGCCGCCAGACAGGAGGUCUGGAGUGCGUGUGAGGAAGGGGAGGGGGGGGAUGUGCCCGAGCCCGAGGUCUCAAGCGUCAAGGAAUUGUUUCCAAACCAGGGGGAGGAAGCGGUAGGGGGGCGCGAAGUGUGAUGUUUGUCGGGGUAAGGUGUGAGGCAUUGGGCAUGGAGCGUAAGGCGGGCAUCAAGGCGGGUAGGGUGUCGGCCUGUGCGCUGUCACCCAAGCCACGGGCGCACCGUUAGCACGCACGCACGCGCACACGCUCACACUACGCACCUGCGGCCGCCUCCUGCCCCUUGCUGGUGGCGCCGCUCCCGCCGCCGCCCCCACCUGCACCCCCAGCAGCCGCCCCGCCCGGCACCGGAGCGCUCACCACCACCUGCGCCUCCGCCGCACCCUCCACCGCUGACUCUGCUCCUGCUCCCCCUCCUGCUGCGGAUGCUUCCGCUGGUAGCUGCACCACUGGCGUGUGCCGUGGAUGCGGUGGGUGCGGCGCCGCCAAGCCAGUCACCGCCGCCACCACCGGCGCCAGCGCCGCCGCCACGGCAGCCGCCGGCUCCCCUCCCGAAAUCCGCCAGACACCCCCUUAAAAAGUUAAAAGUACGUGCAUAAUGCUCUCCUAAAGCUCUGUAAUUUUGAGCAUGGGGUAAGAAACUGAGCUUUCUACCCCCCCCCUGCUUCUAUCAACCGGUUGUGCUUUCGGGGUUACAUGGAAGAGAUUAGGCUGGUGGGGCACAGUGGUGCACGGUGACAGAGACAGCCUUUCUUCCCUGUCUGGGUCAGGGGACAGGUUGUGCCGCCCUCGAGUCCGAAUCAAAUCGUUCUUUGCAGCAUCCCUCUUCAGGAUGCUGAGUGGAGUUGGUGUCGGUAGUAAAGGCCAAGCCCAACGCCCAUUGCGGCAGGGCCCAGGUGUGGGCGGAACGCCCGCCAAGAUGAGACACGAUGAGAGGCACGGCCGAUCGCGCCGAGUUAAGCCAUCACCACGCCCAGUGUUCCGGCCGGUUGUAACAGAUCAACUGUUACGAUCCCUGUUCGAGACAGGGCUGGGCCCUAACUUAUGCCUCUUACGAGUCUUCUAGUGAAUACGCGGUCACCCAAGUCUCAUCCGUUGGACAUCUCCAACCCCUUGCCAGGCUCUACAGUGAGUUAUGUCCGGGGUGGGCUAGGUACUGCUACCCCAGGGGAGAGCCUUCCCUGGCAGAGCCCAGGCCCUGCCGUAUUCCUUACCGGGUCGCACACCCACCGAAGUACCGAACCACGCGUCACGGUCUGGGAAUCAGCUGCACCCUACGGGACUUCACCAACCUGCCUUAACACUGUCCCAUACCACGCGUUACGUUUCUCCACGAUCCGCGGAACGGCGGAAACACGUAUUGACAUGUGUACACCCGCAAGGAGACCGCGGGUGGGUGAGAAUACUGCGCCUGCGCCUGAGAGCCCCGGGGCAAGCUGUCUCAUCCCCGAACGUAGAACUCAUAGAGUGCAGUCUGUGCAAAAGGGAAAGCGAGAUGCAAAGGACGAAGCAGGAGUCGUGUGACGCGUUAGCGUGGAUAAACGCCUGGCGGAUGAGAUCGGACAUGGCAACUUGGAAAUGGGCAGGUUGGUGUUAGUCCUGUGGACCUGAUAUACCCGAGCCGGUUGAGGGCCUCAUGUGCAAAACCGCCAGCGCCGGUCUGCUGGCCUUAUCUGGGUACACGCAGUACCGGUGCGGUAGCUGACGAUGCCAGCGUUAUUGACGAGUGUUGCGGAACUAAUGCGUACGUAGACCAGAGCGGAAGGCGGAGUGGGCUUGCAGGCGGCACGAGAGUAGGCAGUCAGUAGCGCAAGUUGCGAAUUCACAUGUUACCUCGUAACCGACGGUAAACGCUGCGGACGGUCGCGCCCAUGGCUGGCUGACGGAAGGUGGCUGCUGUAUUGGGAUGGCUGGGCUGGACGACGCCGGCCGGGCUGGCGUGCACGAUGUGCACAAACCGUUCCGCCUGCAGAUUGCAGAAAGCCCUGACGCCAGCUGCGCAUCCUGACGGAUGACACGUUGGGGGCUGUCACUCAGCUGCUGACUCGGGACCACCGUGCUGUCCCCUGCCGCAGUUACCGCCGCAGCCUGGCUGGCAUUCAACUUAUGUUGAAAAUUAUAUCAAUAUGACGCGUUCGUACUGUGCCCCCAAACCGGUUUACAGGGGCAACAGGCAAUAGCCCUGCGCACAAACUCCUGCUUCUCACCAGAGCUUUCGCCGUUAUGCACGGCCACGGGAACAAUGGUCCCGGCCAACCACAUCUAUGAACCGUGUCCGUUAGCCUCUCCUGAGGCUUGUAACCGGAACGCGGCUCCGCUGAUUGCAGUCCCAGGAUGACGCUAACCUAAGCAAACAGUCAAUGCGCAUGAUCAUUUACACACACGAGUGCUCUUAUGUACUGCCCAUAUUAAACACAGUCGAGUUGUGGAUCAGUUGCACGAUUCACCGCGCCAGCCCUCGCGGCGGUGCUUCACGCAAUCCGCAUUCAGCUGGUGGCGAGUCGCCAAGCCGCCCCCAACAAAACCCGCACCGCACCAAGUGCCAUGCCGUUUAGACACACGCGCACAACACUAAUCCUGCGAGGCAGUGAUCUCAUCUGUCACUUUGUCAACUACCCAAUCAAGCCAUUUUUCCGAACCCAAUUCAAAACACGCGCCCACGGGCGAAGCUGUGCGCCGUGGCUGUAGCGGCUGCUGCCUCUGCUGCCAACGCCUCACAAAAUCCACCCGUGGCCGUCUGCCACAUAAGCUCCAGCGGUCACCAGCUAUGCUCCGUGCCAGCUCGCGAUAUUGCCAGGCCGUGUGGCCGCAGCAGCUGUUUGCACAGCUGCCGCGAAGCAAGUCCGCUGCCACAAGAACUCAAACAGGGUGGGUCAGCCGCGCGGCUUCCAAGCGGCUUCCACCUUGUGUGUAUGGACACGCGACGCCUCGGCUGCUGCGGGCUGUGCCAUUUACGGCAGGCUCGCCUGGUACAGCGGGCAGCUGCGGGCAAGACACGGGAGGGGUGAGGAAUGGCGGUCAGAUACGUGACAACGUCGAGGCAGAUGUCCGCGGGGAAGUCCGUGGGCGAAGCCUAUUGAUUUAGAUCCCGCAAGACAACCCACAUUGGCAAGUACGUUGUUGCGAGCGUGUCAAUGCAAACCCAACUCACCAGUUCUUGCUGUCGUCGAACAAGUUGCCGUAGCACGAGCCGCCGGGCGCGGGCAGGCAGAAGUCCGACAGGGGGGUGUCGUUCUUCAGCUCCAGGCAGAUAGUACCGCCAUUCGCCUGGUCCUUGCUCCAGUUCAGGGGGGUAGCCUUGACGGUCUGCUCGUCCACAGCGCCCCAGGUGGCGGACAGCCACUUGCCGGUGCCGGUCUUGGGCUGCACGUACACGCCGGUGAUGGCGCGGCGCUUCUUGUCGUCGGCGUAGAACUCGGCCUUGAGCAGGCUGGUGCUCCGGCCGCAGGGGCUGGUGGCGCUGUUGGGGGUCACAAGGGUGAUGCUGAAGCAGUAAGAGGUGGUGUCCUUGGUGCGGCCGGCCAUAGUGGAAAUGACGGGCGUGAAGGCGAAGGGGGUGGCGCCGGGCGUGGUGACGCAAGCGCACUUGGGGAAGUCCACAGGCUCGGGGGCGCAGGCCUGGGACUGGAAGCCGCUCAGGCAAGACGCAUCCGGGGCCUGUGCGGAGCCGCCGAUGCCGCCGACGGCGGCGUAAGCGCUGUAGCCAGUCAGGAAGGCGGGGCAGCCCUGGACGCCGGUGAUCAGCUGCAGCCAGAAGGGCAGGCGCUCAUCGAUGAAGGGCUGCAGCUCGGCGCCCUGCUCCGAUGAGAAGAAGGUGGCGCACAGCUUGAUCACGUCGCCAGAGCAAACAGCCGGGGCGAAGUUGAUCGCGACGCCCAGGUUCUCGGCCUCGGUCUGGAGCUCGUCGCCGAUCAUAGCAGCGUAGUCGUCGCAGUCCUGCUGGGAGAACUCGUAAGGGAAGACAACGUUGCCGGUCUCAAGGAUGGAGAGGUACACGCAAGCCGUGCAGGGAGGAGGAGGAGACGGAGGAGGCGGGCUGGGGGGAGGAGGGCUCGGGAUGCCGGGCGUGGAGAUAGGGCAGCAGUCGUUCUGGCUGUCGAACAGCGCAGCCGAGCACACACCCUUGGGCAGGCCAGGGGGAGGAAUGCACAGCUCCUCAAGGGAGGUGCAGCCCUUGCCGUUCUUGUUCAGCGACAGGGUGAUGCAAAUCUCAGCACCGUCGCUGGCCAGGCCCAGGCCCAGCUGGGUCAGCACCAGAGUGGUGGAGCCGACGGGGCCAUCGAUGGGCUCGUGGAACGAG
rnacentral:lncRNA from 1 species